rnacentral:rRNA from 1 species
GACGGAGGGUGCAAGCGUUGGUCGGAAUUACUGGGCGUAAAGGGCGUGUAGGCGGUCAGGUAAGUCAGAUGUGAAAUCCCUGGGCUCAACCCAGGAAUUGCAUUUGAAACUGCUUGACUUGAGUACGGGAGAGGAGAGUGGAAUUCCCGGUGUAGAGGUGAAAUUCGUAGAUAUCGGGAGGAACACCAGUGGCGAAGGCGGCUCUCUGGACCGAUACUGACGCUGAGACGCGAAAGCGUGGGGAG